rnacentral:rRNA from 1 species
GACGAACGCUGGCGGCGUGCUUAACACAUGCAAGUGGAGCGACGAACCGGGGGCUUGCCCCGGGGCAGAGCCGCGAACGGGUGAGUAACACGUGGGUUACCUGCCCUGAUGACCGGGACAACCCGUCGAAAGACGGGCUAAUACCGGAUGUGCCCGCAAGGGGAAAGGAGGCGUAAGCUUCCGCAUCGGGAUGGGCCCGCGGAGCAUUAGCUUGUUGGUGAGGUAAAAGCUCACCAAGGCUUCGAUGCUUAGCUGGUCUGAGAGGACGAUCAGCCACACUGGGACUGAGACACGGCCCAGACUCCUACGGGAGGCAGCAGUGGGGAAUCUUGCGCAAUGCACGAAAGUGUGACGCAGCAACGCCGCGU